UACGGAGCUGGCAAGCGUUGCUCGGAAUCACUGGGCGUAAAGGGCUCGUAGGCGGGGAGGUAAGUCGGGUGUGAAAUCCCUCGGCCCAACUGAGGAACUGCGCCCGAGACUGCUUCUCUUGAGUCCCGGAGAGGAAGAUGGAAUUCCCGGUGUAGCGGUGAAAUGUGUAGAGAUCAUGAGGAAGACCAGUGGCGAAGGCGGGUCUCUGGACAGUUCCUGACACUGAGGCACGAAGGCCAGGGGAGCAAACGGG
rnacentral:rRNA from 1 species